rnacentral:rRNA from 1 species
UACAGAGGGUGCAAGCGUUGUUCGGAAUUAUUGGGCGUAAAGCGCGUGUAGGCGGCGUGACAAGUCGGGUGUGAAAGCCCUCAGCUCAACUGAGGAAGUGCGCCCGAAACUGUCGUGCUUGAGUGUCGGAGAGGGUAGCGGAAUUCCCCAAGUAGAGGUGAAAUUCGUAGAUAUGGGGAGGAACACCGGUGGCGAAGGCGGCUACCUGGACGACUACUGACGCUGAGACGCGAAAGCGUGGGGAGCGAACAGG